rnacentral:tRNA from 1 species
GCCUAGUUGGCUCAGUCGGUGGAGUGUGCGACUCUUGAUCUUGGGCUUGUGAGUUCGAGCCCCACAUUGGGUG